GAAGCCAGUUAGACAGAAUUCUUCAUUGUUCGGGCCGAGAGCUCGCCGUUCUGUUGAUCCCGACUGAUCCAAAGAAACAAAACUGCAUUGUUCCUCGCAGAUGGAAGCGAGUGUCGCCAAGAUCUGAGACAAUGAUGAAACAGCUGUAGGUAUCAGUGUGUGUGUGUGAGAGAGUGUAUGAGUGGCUCUUUGCUCACACUCUCACCAGAAUUUAAAGGCACAAACACACCUGCCUCCAGUCCCUGCACCAAUGCUUGGUGGAUUCAGAGCACGAGCACCGGCAGAGGAGACUGACAGGAAAGUCAAGGGUCCUCACAAGGAGGACCGUCUUCUCACAUCACCUUGGCUCUGGCUGCCGCUGGGGACGAGGACGAGGAGGACGAGCCGGUGGGGGUUGGAAGAGUUUCAGGAAGUGUUUCAGAUGUCAGAUUAAUUCCUGAAAUAUCUUAGAUUGCUUCGAGAAAUAACACGGCAGGUUGUAAUAAACAAAAAGCCUUUCAAUCGGGACAGCAGACUAUGUCGAGAACUGGGAUCUCGUAACGUUGAUGUACAAUCUCAAAACCUCGACUCGUUUUAUCUGAAUUUAGACCGGGUUUGAAAACCGAGAAGCGAACACCGAAUUCGAAUAAAUCUCUCGAAAGUUAAAAGAUCUUUCAAAAUUGCAUUUGUACACACGCUUUUCCUACACAGGGCCGCAGGGAGCCUGGAGCCAGUCCCAGGGAACUCGGGGCACGAGGCGGGGGACACCCUGGACAGGGUGUAAAACUAUCGCAGGGCAAAAUCACACACAUUCACACACUACGGACAAUUUAGAGACACCGGUCAGACCAGCAUGCAUGUCUUCGGACUGGAGGAAGAAACGGGCGUACCCGGAGGAAACCCCCGAGACACGGGGAGGACAUGCAAGCUGAUUAGCAAUACAGGAACAUUUCAAAGGAGAAAAUGGCUUUGAUUUAAGAAACAAAUUCUGCAAUAACCUUUCAGUAUCAAGUUCUAGAUUUGGACUUUUGUCUGGGAUCUUGAGUUUUUAUACACCCAAAUUGAACUGAUACCGAUUGAUCGAAUAAAUGAUCCAUUCAGGAUAAACCGUGAUUAGCUGAUUGACUGAUUGAUUGAUUUACCAACCGAUUUACUGAUCAAAUUAUUUACUGGCCUCGGUUCAUUGAUUGAUUGUUUUACUAUGGUUGAUUGAUAUUGAUUGAUUGAUUGAUAUUGAGUGAUUGAUUGAUUGAUAUCGAUUGGUUGAUUAAUUGAUUGAUGUUGAUUGAUUGAUAUUGAUUGAUUG